UACGAGGGGUGCAAGCGUUGCUCGGAAUUAUUGGGCGUAAAGGGUAGGUAGGUGGUCUCAUUUGUCAGGGGUGAAAGCCUUGGGCUUAACCCAAGAAGUGCCCCUGAAACGGUGAGACUGGAGUCCUGGAGAGGGUCGUGGAAUUCCCGGUGUAGCGGUGAAAUGCGUAGAGAUCGGGAGGAACACCAGAGGCGAAGGCGGCGACCUGGACAGGUACUGACACUCAACUACGAAAGCGUGGGGAGCAAACAGG
rnacentral:rRNA from 1 species